GUGGAUGUAGUUCAGUUGGCAGAGCACCAGAUUGUGGUUCUGGGUGUCAAGGGUUCGAGUCCCUUUAUCCACC
rnacentral:tRNA from 1 species